rnacentral:rRNA from 1 species
UACGUAGGGGGCAAGCGUUGUCCGGAAUUAUUGGGCGUAAAGAGCGUGUAGGCGGUCCGGUAAGUCAGCUGUGAAAGUCAAGGGCUCAACCCUUGAAAGCCGGUUGAUGCUGUCGGGCUAGAGUCCGGAAGAGGCGAGUGGAAUUCCCGGUGUAGCGGUGAAAUGCGCAGAUAUCGGGAGGAACACCAAUGGCGAAGGCAGCUCGCUGGGACGGUACUGACGCUGAGACGCGAAAGCGUGGGGAGCAAACAGG